rnacentral:rRNA from 1 species
AUUGAACGCUGGCGGCAGGCCUAACACAUGCAAGUCGAACGAGUGGCGGACGGGUGAGUAAUGUCUGGGAAACUGCCUGAUGGAGGGGGAUAACGACUGGAACCGGUAGCUAAUACCGCAUAACAUCAGAUGUGCCCAGAUGGGAGUAGCUAGUUGGUGGGGAAACGGCUAACCAAGGCGAAGAUCACUAGCUGGUCUGAGAGGAUGACCAGCCACACUGGAACUGAGACACGGUCCAGACUCCGACGGGAGGCAGCAGUGGGGAAUAUUGCACAAUGGGCGCAAGCCUGAUGCAGCCAGGCCGCGUGUAUGAAGAAGGCUUUCGGUUUGUAAAGUACUGUCAGCGGGGAGGCGUUACCCGCAUAAGAAGCACCGGCUAACUCCGUGCCAGCAGCCGCGGUAAUAC